rnacentral:rRNA from 1 species
GAGUAAUGUCUGGGAAACUGCCUGAUGGAGGGGGAUAACUACUGGAAACGGUAGCUAAUACCGCAUAACGUCGCAAGACCAAAGAGGGGGACCUUCGGGCCUCUUGCCAUCGGAUGUGCCCAGAUGGGAUUAGCUAGUAGGUGGGGUAAAGGCUCACCUAGGCGACGAUCCCUAGCUGGUCUGAGAGGAUGACCAGCCACACUGGAACUGAGACACGGUCCAGACUCCUACGGGAGGCAGCAGUGGGGAAUAUUGCACAAUGGGCGCAAGCCUGAUGCAGCCAUGCCGCGUGUAUGAAGAAGGCCUUCGGGUUGUAAAGUACUUUCAGCGGGGAGGAAGGGAGUAAAGUUAAUACCUUUGCUCAUUGACGUUACCCGCAGAAGAAGCACCGGCUAACUCCGUGCCAGCAGCCGCGGUAAUACGGAGGGUGCAAGCGUUAAUCGGAAUUACUGGGCGUAAAGCGCACGCAGGCGGUUUGUUAAGUCAGAUGUGAAAUCCCCGGGCUCAACCUGGGAACUGCAUCUGAUACUGGCAAGCUUGAGUCUCGUAGAGGGGGGUAGAAUUCCAGGUGUAGCGGUGAAAUGCGUAGAGAUCUGGAGGAAUACCGGUGGCGAAGGCGGC